AGGGGCAGCAUGGUCUUAGCUUGCUAAGACUGAUGGCGACCGGCGCACGCGGUGAGUAACACGUAUCCAACCUGCCGUCUACUCUUGGACAGCCUUCUGAAAGGAAGAUUAAUACAAGAUGGCAUCAUGAGUCCACAUGUUCACAUGAUUAAAGGUAUUCCGGUAGACGAUGGGGAUGCGUUCCAUUAGAUAGUAGGCGGGGUAACGGCCCACCUAGUCUUCGAUGGAUAGGGGUUCUGAGAGGAAGGUCCCCCACAUUGGAACUGAGACACGGUCCAAACUCCUACGGGAGGCAGCAGUGAGGAAUAUUGGUCAAUGGGCGAGAGCCUGAACCAGCCAAGUAGCGUGAAGGAUGACUGCCCUAUGGGUUGUAAACUUCUUUUAUAAAGGAAUAAAGUCGGGUAUGCAUACCCGUUUGCAUGUACUUUAUGAAUAAGGAUCGGCUAACUCCGUGCCAGCAGCCGCGGUAAUACGGAGGAUCCGAGCGUUAUCCGGAUUUAUUGGGUUUAAAGGGAGCGUAGAUGGAUGUUUAAGUCAGUUGUGAAAGUUUGCGGCUCAACCGUAAAAUUGCAGUUGAUACUGGAUAUCUUGAGUGCAGUUGAGGCAGGCGGAAUUCGUGGUGUAGCGGUGAAAUGCUUAGAUAUCACGAAGAACUCCGAUUGCGAAGGCAGCCUGCUAAGCUGCAACUGACAUUGAGGCUCG
rnacentral:rRNA from 1 species